UGAGGAAUAUUGGUCAAUGGGCGCAAGCCUGAACCAGCCAUCCCGCGUGCAGGAUGAAGGCCCUAUGGGUCGUAAACUGCUUUUAUACACCAAGAAAAACACGAACGUGUUCGUGCCCGACGGUAGUGUAUGAAUAAGCAUCGGCUAACUCCGUGCCAGCAGCCGCGGUAAUACGGAGGAUGCAAGCGUUAUCCGGAUUCAUUGGGUUUAAAGGGUGCGUAGGCGGCUUUUUAAGUCAGUGGUGAAAUCCUGCCGCUUAACGGUAGAAUUGCCAUUGAUACUGAAGAGCUUGAGUACAAUUGAGGUAAGCGGAAUGUGUAGUGUAGCGGUGAAAUGCUUAGAUAUUACACAGAACACCAAUUGCGAAGGCAGCUUACUAAACUGUUACUGACGCUGAUGCACGAAAGCGUGGGGAGCGAACA
rnacentral:rRNA from 1 species